UUUCUUGACAUUAAUUUAUUUGUGUUUAUCCAGGAUUGGGUUCAUUGAGUUUCUGGAUACCUAGAUUUAUAGGUUUAUCAAAAUUGGAAAAAUUUUAGCCACUACUUGUUCAUGUUGUUUUCUGUCCUUCCCUUUCUGUGUGUCUCCUCUAUGACUCCAGGUAUAUGUAUGUGCACUGCUUGAUAUUGUCCUAUAGGCCAGGGAUGCUCUUUUUAUUUUUAUUCAGUUUUUUUCUCUCUGCACUUCAGUGUAAAGGUUCCAUGCUGUGUCUUUAGAUCCAGUGAUUGUUUUCUGUAGUGUUGGUAUAGUUUGAAUAUGGAAUGUCCUCCAAAGACCCACGUCUUGCUUUCCAGCUUGGUGCCAUUGUGAGGUAGUGGAAUCUUUGAGAGGUGGGGUCUAUUGGGCGUCUUUAGGUCACUGGGGUUGUGCUGUGGACGGGGAUGGUGGGAUUCUGACCCACUCCUUGCUCUCUUGAUCCCUAGCCAUGAGAGAAAGCUAGAUAAAGCCAUAUGAUACAAUGGCAAAAAUGAAUGAUCUUAAACACAUUGACAGAGGAAUUCUCACAGGAAGGCACUGGAAUGGAGGCCAGCAGACAUUUGCUGUAACUGUCUGACAGGUUUACCAAGAGCUUUCACAUGUCUUAUCGAAUUUAAUCUACACAGCAACAAAGUAUAAAAAUCUUAAAAAUCCAAGACCCAGCAAGGAAUCAGUUUGAGAAGAAUAAGAUUGUUAUCAAUCAUCUCCCAUACCAAUGUUGUAUAAAAUUUUUUUAAUCAUGCUGGCAAGAACAUGGAGAAUCGGCAUGAAUAUAUUUAAAGCCAGCUGAAUAAGAAAGAUCUGGGAAAGAAAGGAUGGAAGUGAAGUUAAUUAGGAAUUAAGCAAAUAACUUGUGUUAAGAUAGCAGUUUGUAUAUUUAUGUUAAAAUUAAAUAAAAGCAAUAUGAAAAUCACUUAUAGAUUAUUCUGGUUUCUAGGUUAUUUUAUUGCAUAUGUAGAAUAUUGACUUUCAUGUAACUGAAAAUGAAAUGUAAUGAAAUAGUUUGAUUCAGUUAGGUUUGAAUUACUGACACAACAAUGGAAGCAUUGUAUUUUCCCUAAGAUUUUAUAUUCUUUUUAAUUUUUUCAUCAGAUGAGGUUUUAGAAUUGUUGAGAUCAUUCCAUUCACUGACAACCUUUAAAAAAUGUUGACUCUAUGUAUAUUAUAGAAAUAUUAUUCUAGUAUUUGCCCCUCUGAUAGCUGAUAUCUGGCAGUUGAAGGGAUGGUAACCUUUAAGAUGAAAUAACCCUGUCAUAAUAUCAUGGCAGAAAGCUGACAAGAUAGUAAAAAUACACUGGACUUUGAGGACCAUUCUAGGGGGAGCAAUUUACAGAUAUUUUUAUUAGAGAGAUUUACAGAUGCUGUGCUAUUCAGUAUACUUAGUGUCAAGCUGAGGAGGUAGAUCAGACAUAUAAAUCAUAUUUGAAGAUUCUAGAGAUAACUCAGAGUUUUCAGGUUUCAGAGAAUAGUUGUGUGGUUGGAUGGCUAUUGUUUUAGCAUCAUACUUCUUAGUCCUCUUGUACUUUCCUUAAAUUAUUUCAGUUUUGUUAUUCUGAGUUCUUUGGGGUUAGAGUUCUGGAAUGUAUUCCUUGCUUGUCCUGUUAUUUUUUUAUUUGGUACCAGGGAUUGAACCCAUUGAGACACAUCCCCAGACCUUUUUAAAUUUUAUUUAGAGACAGGGCCUUGCUAAAUUGCUGAGGCUGGCUUUGAACUUGUGAUCCUCCUGAUUCAGUUUUCCACAUCCCUGGGAUUACAGGCAUAUGCCAUUGUGCCUGCCGACCCUGUUGUAUUACAAGUUUAGUAUCCAUAGGAGAGACCCUUGGAACAGGCCCUGAGCAUCAUGGAAAGAGAAUAAGAACAGAAGUAGACUUCUAGGACUAGUAGGUGAAAUACUUGAGGUUGUGUAUCCCUGAGGCUUCCAGGAGGACUCAGAGGAAUUUCAAAUAUAAAAAUAACAAAUCAUGUGAUUUGCUUGUUUAUAUAAAUAAUUUUGACACUUUUUUUAAAAAUAUAUUUUUUAAUUGUAGGUGGACACGAUACCCUAUUUUAUUUUUAUGUGGUGCUGAGGAUUGAAUUCAGUGCCUCAUGUGUGCAUGGUGAGCACUCUAUCACUGAGCCUCAGCCCCAUCCCCAGCCCCAAGUUUGACACUUUUUAAGAGAUAGUCAUACAUACAAUCAAUCAACAAGUACAUGAAAAAAUGCUCACCAUCUCUAGCAGUCAGAGAAAUGCAAAUCAAAACCCCCUAAGAUACCAUCUCACUCCAGUAAGAUUGGCAGC